UUUUUUUUUUUUUCUUUUUUGGCUGCCCUUCAGCAUUAUGGAUUUCCUGGGACAGGGAUCAGAUCUGAGCCAUGGUCACAACUUAAACCCCAGCUACAGCAACCCAGAUCUUUACCCCACUGUGCCAGGCCAGGGACUGAACCUGCAUCCCAGUGCUCCCAAGACACCACAGAUCCCACCACAGAUUGUGCCACAGUGGGAACUCAAAAUCAGCCUUAUUUUAGACUAAAAUUUAGCAUAUACUAAAGCACUUUAAAUCAGCAAUGUGAUUAUUCAAUACAUAAUACUAGAACUAUAAGUUAAUUUUUUAGCAAUCAAAUCAAACCCGUCUCACACCAUACAAUGAAAUAAAAUUAAGACAAGCUGAGAAUUAAAAACUUUUUUAACAAAAAAAAAGAAGAGAAAAAGAAGAAAGAGAAAAAAGAAAUGGAAGAAAUCAUAAAGCAACUAUAUGGGAAAAAAAUACGUUGGGCAGAAAAAAAAAAAUCUAAGUUUUGAGAGUUCCCAUUGUAACUCAGUGGAAAUGAACCUAACUAGUAUCCAUGAGGAUGCAGUUGGAUUCUGCUGAGCCACAAUGGGAACUCCGAGAUUCCUUCAAUUUUACAUACACUAGUGGGAGGGAAUGGCUUUGCUUAUGCUAUUCCUUUAGUCUGAAAUGUCUGCCUUCCACACGCACAACAGCACCUUAGAAGCCUGUAUUCUUUUAGGCACUGCCAGAUUUUCACCCUCGAUUCCCACCUUUCUCCUGAAGGGAAUCUUGAUCUGAUUCAGAUGUGCAGCCUUAUCCCACAGCACCCAUGAGCCUCAGGGAAAGCUGGCCCCACUGCUACCCCCAGAGAUGGGCAUGAAUGACUGAUGAUCAUGACUGGUUUAGAAGGCUUAGUGAAAGGUCUUGGGAAUAGGCAGGAUGGGCUAAGACAGUAGUUAGGAAGUUUGCUGGGAGGCUGCUAAGAAGGUAAUUUCUCAUUAGUAAAAGAUGGCAUCUGGACCAGACAGCCUCUGUCUUCCUCUGGAUAUUGUGGUAGUGAGGAGUUGCUAUGCCACUCUGCCUCCAAGGUAAUGAAAGGGAAUCACUGAGAACUAAAUCACUGGAUUCAGCUAUGCCUAAAGACUACCCUAGCUCUGAACCUCCAGUUAAAUGAGCUAAUGCCUCCCCUUAUUAUCUGAGCCAGAAUGAGUAUGGAUUUCUGUCAUGUGUGAAUAAAAGCUUCCUAACUGGUAGAAGAGAAUGGACAACUGCUGUUUCUACCAGGCAAGCAGCAUUUCUUAUUCUUCUAUAAAUUGAACCUUGGUUUUCCCUUUGGGAAUCAUGUCUUACCCAUUCUCAGUUCCUAUGGUCUAGGUGGGACUCACCUCUCCCCACUCUAAGGUCCAGAGUAGGCAAUGAAGCAAAUAGAACCUUCAGAACACUGGGUCUAAGUGGUUGGGAAGCUGUUACAAUAACCUACUGGGGCCAGUGAGGGAUCUAUGUAAGUCUCCUGCUAGAACUAUGGUAAAGAAAAACUCCUGUUCCACUGAAGAUGCUUACAUGGUAGAAUAUAAACCUAGAUCUGCUGGUAGCCAUCUUUCCAAAAAAAGAAAUGAGAUGGCUAAGAAUGAAGGAGAUAAUGGUAGAGCAAGGUCAAGAGAAAGAAAGAGAUAAUUGUUUUAGCACCUGGAUCCAUCUGUACCUGAAGCUAAUCACCAUCAGAUUGUUAAAUUAUGUGAGCUACUAAAUAAUCUUCUUUUUCUUAAAGUUUGAGACAGGUUUCUGUUCCAAGUCCUGCCAUUAUAUCUUGUCACCAAAGAACCACCAUCACCUUACAAUGUGCGUACGAGUCUGAUGUCCCAGACACAGUGAGCCUCUGCAAUAAAGACCAUGAUUUUCACCCUUUUAUCUUCCAUACCUAGAGAAGAAUCUGGCUCAUACCACCAAGGCACAGUAUGGUACUUGAAGCAAGUCAUUAAAACUCACCCAGGCUCAGUUUCCUAAUCUCAAAAACAAGACAUUUAACAACAAAGAUGACAGAUAAUAACAAGUGUUGGGGAGAAUGUGGAGAAAUCAGAACCCCCAUACAUUGCAAAUAGGUAUGUAAAGUAGUGCAGGUGCUUUGAAAACCAGUUUGGUAGUUCCUCAAAAGGUUAAACAAAGAAGAUACCAUAUGAUGCAGCAGUUCCACAACUCAAAACAUUCCUAGGAGAAUUAAAAACAUACGUCAACACAAAAACUUACAUAAAAAUGUUUGUAGUAGUCUUCAUCAUAAAAGCAAAAAGUGAAACAAGUGUCCAGCAAUGUAUGAAUGGAUAAACAAGAUGUGCUAUAGCUGUACAGUGGAAUAUUACUCUACCAUGAAAAAGAAUGAUAUAUUGAUUCAUGCUACAUAUUCAUUCAUGUUAAUGAAUCUUAAGAAUCAUUACAUGUAAUGAAAGAAGCCAAACACAAAUGGCCAUACACAUACUGUAUGAAUUCAUCUAUAUGCAAAUGUCGGGAAGAGACAAACCUAUAGAUAAAAAAUACAGUAGUUGCCAAGUGCAGAGCGGAUUACAAGGAAAUGGGGGAAGGGGGUGUGAAUGUUAAAGGGUAUAGGAUUUCUUUUGUAGGAAGUGAAAAUGUUCUAAAAUGGGCUGUGGUAAUGGUUAUACAACUGUGUGACCGUGCUAAAAACCACAACUGUAAAUUAGUAUACACUGUAAACUGGCAAAUUUAUGAAUUAUAUCUCAAUAAACCUGUUACCCCAAAAAAAUCAGUCAACUGAACCAGAUGGUGGCCAAGGUCUCUUGCCACCAUGACCUGCAGAUUCUCUACAGCAUUUUAGGUGAAAUAGGAAAGAUCUAACUAUGUGACUCUCGGCAAGCUCUUAAUCUCUCUGCAACUCAAUGUUCCCAUUUAUGAAAUGGAGAUGAAAGGUUGUUGUGAGGAUAGAAAGAAUUACACAUAUGAAGCAUUACAAUAGUGCCUGCACACACUAAGCAUUUUGAGAGUUCUGGCUAUUGCUGAGCUCCCAUUUGCUGAUGAGGCUUUUGCAUGUGGCCUCAGAUACAUCAAGGGCAAGUCAAAUUCUAUUCUAUGAAAGUCAUCAUCAUCAAGUACCACUAUGUGGCUUGUGAAGUAUUUUCAUUCACUACCCUGCUAACUCAAGAAAUUGCCAAAAUAUAUUCUCAUAUCAGUUUUGCUUUUUUUUUCUCCUAGAGAGUGGAGAAAAAAAAAAGAAGGAAAAUGCAAAUAAGUUACGGCAAGUAGCAAGUAAACAUUUUUCAUCCUCCACUUGCCAAACCAAGGCCUGAUGCCCCACCGCUACAAACUAUUUCCAUGUGUCUCCAUCCCAGGCGAAAAGGAUAAGGGGCCAAAUGUUUAGGCCUGAUGAUAGGAGUUUGGGUUUAAAACCAAGACUCUCCAACCAAGGCUCAGUUUUGGGUGUCUGCCCCCUGGCCGUCAAGAAAUGGGAGGAUUUGAAAGAGUUCUACAUGCAUCCUCUCAAUGCUUGUUUUUGCCUGGAUAGGAAAGGGGUAAUAAAAGUCACCAUGGGCACGAUCAAGAGAACCACAGUAGCUCCUAUGAUUUACUGGGAACGCCACGUCUUCUAGACUCUGCCCUAUUCCCAGUGAAUUACAUGUAUUAACCUAUCUAAUUCUCUCCACCAGCCUUACUGGGUAGGUACUAUCACACUAUUUUGUGGGUAAGAAAACUGAACCACAGAAAUGUUUAAUAACUUGUCCAAGGUCACAGCUCUUAAGUACCAAGGCUGGGGGGUUGAAGCAGACUGCCUAACUCAGUAUUCACUGCACUAAGCACUGGCUUGGAUUCUCAACCACACACAAUGGAACUGCUGCCUCCAGGCAUUUGAAUAAUAGAGGGGCCAAUAUUAGCCAACUCUCUCUGAAGGUUUAGCAGAAGCCAGAUAUUGGGCGUUAUGAGAAUCAUCAUCACAACAUCUCUAGUAUUAUCAUCACCAGACCAUUUUACAGAAGUGCAAACUGAGAGUAAGAAACCUACCCAAGAUCACUAAACACUAAGAAACCACACUGAGACUCGAGCUUGUUCGGUCUGGUUCAGAGACCAUGCAUGUCAGUAAUGGAAUGAUUUGGUUUUUCUAUUGGCAGAGCAGUCUUCCUCAAAUAGAAACCUGAACAAUGACUCGGGUUCCCACAGAUAUGUGAUCUAGCCACAUUCCUUCAUCUCUGUUUCUCCUUUUAUUUGGUAUUCCCUCCCAACCAAGAAGUCCCUCUGCCCCAGCCCUAAUCCCAUCCCUUCCUUUAGGAACAAAAGGAAGAGAGGAAUGAUGCCUCUGGCAGAUGCCUUUUCUAGAAAAUACGGGACGUGAGCAGAGUAAGGUUGGGGAAACGAAGGAAGCAGAAGGGAUGGCUGUGCAAAAUGAGGCAGUAACAGACUCAUGAGGGUGUGUGUGUAUGUUAAGGAGAGAAAGAGAGAGAGAUUGAGAUUGUGGCCACAGAGCAAAGAAUCAAGCUCAAGAAGAAGAAACAAAAUUCCAGCCAAGCAGAAGACUCGGGAACAGCUCUGAAGGCUCUGGCUGUGUCUGUCACAGGAUUAGUGAAAUUAUUUAAGAUAUCCUUGUACCAAAAGCAGGAACUGGAUGGGCACCUUCCACUUCUGAGUUCAACAAAGAAGUACAUAUGGAGCGGCUCCUCCAGGCCAAGCUGGGCAAACUUUAUCCAACUUGAUGCAAGUUGAAGGGCUCACAACAGGCCAAGAUGAGCAUCUGGCCAAAGAGAAAGAGAGAGACCUUCCCUACCAUGCAGGCAAGGCAGCCACAGUCUCUCCCUAAACCCUCCAGGAAAAAGCAGCAAAUUAAGCCGCAAGAAACAACACUCUCUCUAGAUACUACCAUGGGGCUAUCCAAAAACACUUGGAAAGCUUGGUAUUCUAGCCAUUCAAAUUUUUCUAUGUGUCAGAAUAUGGGGCAAUAAUGUAACGACCUCUCACAUCCAGCGUAAACUUUUAAACGCCAGAGACAUGGUGCCAGUCCACUUAGGAAAGGUACCUUGCCUGUUCCCAAGAGGAGGAGCCUCAAAGAUAACAUGAAGUGCUAAUGAACAACACGGCACCUGCAAUCCUGGGCCUCUGAAGGCCUAUCACUGUGCUCAACGCAGUCUCUGAGCAUAAGAAUGAAGGCUUUCCUCCCUCUACUAAGGAGCCAGGCAACUUGGUGCCAAACUGCAGUAUGACUUCACUCUCUGUAAUCCGCAUGGCACGUGGAAUACUCACAGCGUGCCAGAUUAUCAGUAAGGUGAUAACAUUUGUGUAUUAUACCUGCCUGGCACAAUUUGAAUGAGGCUCCCUCAGGCCGCCUAAGGUUUCGCUUCCUGUUUUCUGCACCUGCACCAAUUUCAGAAACAAAUAAAAACACCACACACAACCCUAUUUUGGGAGCUUAUUCAAAAGCGAAGUGGCCAAACCAACACAAUCAACAUAAACCCCAAAACACAACAAGGUAAUUAACCUGAGGUUCAGACUCACUCCAUGUCGGGGAAGUACGCCUCCUUCCACUUUUUAGCGAUCUCCGCAAAUUUCCACAUCUUGAAUCAUCUUACUUAUUUAAUGUGACUUUUAGCCAAUAGAGAGAACAGUCAUUAUCAUGAGGACCUACAUGCAUAAAGCUCCUUUCUAUACUUGCUAGGCACCAUGCAUCACAUUCUACCUGAAUUUCCUCAUUAAUCCAGAGAACAAAUGAAGUGAUUUCUAUUAUUACGUCCUCUUACAUACAGACAGACACACACCCAUUUAUGACAGAUGAAGGUAAAUUAGAAAGGUUAAUGGGCUUGAAGUCACCCAAUAAGUAUGAAAAGCCUCUGUAUACCCAAAUCUGUCAAACUCCAGACUCCUUGCCCUUAACCGCCAAGUCACAGUGUGACCAAAAACCAGAUGGCACUGAUCAUGAUCUGGGUACACCCAUAACCUUCGCCACCUACCUGGACAGUGUCCUUAGCAUUACUGAAACUCCUUAUCACUACAGUGAAACGGCUUUUGCAGAAUCUUUUUUAAAAAAAAAUGUGUAGAUAGAGAUUUAUAUUUCAGUGAACAGAGCAACAGUCCUUUCAGGAAGUUAGUUCUAUACCAACUGGGGAGGGUGAACAUUGAGAAAUGGAAAGGGAAGAAAUCAAAUCAUCCACCAAGGGAUUCAGUACUGUGGUCAACAAUGCCUCUGCCACUCUGUCCCUGGUGGAGCAUGAGGGGUGAAAACAGGGUAAGAAAGCUUCCUGGACUUUGGCCUGCCAUUCAGCAUCACCCAAGGACAGCAAUCCCUGGAGAUGCCAGGACUAGAGCAGACAUGAAAGCAAUUCCCUAGCAGUAUCUCUGUAACAUAAAUUUACUAUUAAGAUACGUUAUUUUGCUUUUUACCAAUUCAUUAUAUAAAAUCUACAGUGUGAAAGAGUCUCCACCAAAUACACGAAUUUGGGGCAGGGGGUGGAGGGGUGACCAAGAGAAGCCAAAGAGACUCAAUGGGAAAUUCAAAUCAAGAAUUGUGCAAGACGACACCUGCCUUCUGGCCUAAUAGAAAAAUCAAUCUGUCAGGUUUUAAUUAAGUGCUCAGGCUAGAAAUAAAAGGCGGCAGCUUCUACUUGGUCUCCUACCUAGUAGAGUCUUGAUAAUCAAAAGGCAGCUGGAAGUCGUAUUUGUUACAGAAAUGGUAAAUAUGUGCAGAGAUGACUCACUGGCUUCAGGGCGGCAGUGUAUUUCGUAAAUAAAAGGUGGAACAAGAUGAAUCUCAUAAGCUUGUUGACAACGAUCUCUGUGAAUAAUGACAUUUGGAAGUCUAAAUGAUGUUGUAUUAGAACAUCUUACUGAAAAUGUGCAAGAAAAAAAAAAAAAAAAAAA
rnacentral:lncRNA from 1 species